CAAAGAUGGGGAAGGGCUGACCCGCCUCAUCGGCGGGAGGAAAGUCCGGACCGCACACAAUAGGGACAUUAAAGAUUAGAUACGGCCGCAAGGUCGUGGCUCUGCUACAGAGACGAGAUGGGGCUGCCUUCGCAAGAAGCUACGGCACCUGAAAUGAAACGAGUAACCGUCCUGCGGAAAUCUCAAGAUGAGACGUUAAUAUCUAAUUGUGGAGAGUCUCAGGUAGAGAGAAUAGAUAGAUGGCCUAUAAACAGAAUCUGGCUUAUCACCGUCUUUG
rnacentral:RNase_P_RNA from 2 species